UACAGAGGUGGCGAGCGUUACUCGGAUUUAUUGGGUGUAAAGGGCAAGUAGGCGUCUUGACAAGUUAGGGGUGAAAUCCUGCAGCUCAACUGCAGAACUGCUCUUAAAACUGUUGAGAUUGAGUUUGGGAGAGGAAAGCGGAAUUCUCGGUGUAAGAGUGAAAUCUGUAGAUAUCGAGAGGAACACCAGUGGCGAAGGCGGCUUUCUGGCCCAGUACUGACGCUGAAUUGCGAAAGCUAGGUGAGCAAACAGG
rnacentral:rRNA from 1 species